rnacentral:rRNA from 1 species
GAUGAACGCUGGCGGCGUGCCUAAUACAUGCAAGUCGAGCGAACAGACGAGGAGCUUGCUCCUCUGACGUUAGCGGCGGACGGGUGAGUAACACGUGUAUAAUCUACCUAUAAGACUGGGAUAAUUUCGGGAAACCGGAGCUAACACCGUAUAAUAUAUUGAACCGCAUGGUUCAAUAGUGAAAUACGGUUUUGCUGUCAUGUAUAGAUGGUUCCGCGCCGCAUUAGCUAGUUGGUAAGGUAACGGCUUACCAAGGCAACGAUGCGUAGCCGACCUGAGAGGGUGAUCGGCCACACUGGAACUGAGACACGAUCCAGACUCCUACGGGAGGCAGCAGUAGGGAAUCUUCCGCAAUGGGCGAAAGCCUGACGGAGCAACGCCGCGUGAGUGAUGAAGGUCUUCGGAUCGUAAAACUCUGUUAUUAGGGAAGAACAAAUGUGUAAGUAACUAUGCACGUCUUGACGGUACCUAAUCAGAAAGCCACGGCUAACUACGUG